rnacentral:rRNA from 1 species
ACACGACUACAUUAGAUACCCGUGUAGUCCUAGCCGUAAACGAUACUCGCUAGGUGUCGGCCACGGUGCGACCGUUGUCGGUGCCGUAGGGAAGCCGUGAAGCGAGCCACCUGGGAAGUACGGCCGCAAGGCUGAAACUUAAAGGAAUUGGCGGGGAGCACCACAACGGGUGGAGCUUGCGGUUUAAUCGGAUUCAACGCCGGAAAUCUUACCGGGACCGACAGCAACAUGAAGGCCAGGCUGAAGACUUUGCCGGAUUAGCUG